rnacentral:rRNA from 1 species
GUGUCAGCAGCCGCGGUAAUACGUAGGGUGCGAGCGUUAAUCGGAAUUACUGGGCGUAAAGCGUGCGCAGGCGGUUCGUCGUGUCCUGUGUGAAAUCCCCGGGCUCAACCUGGGAACUGCAUGGGAAACUGGCGAGCUGGAGUGUGGCAGAGGGGGGUGGAAUUCCGCGUGUAGCAGUGAAAUGCGUAGAGAUGCGGAGGAACACCGAUGGCGAAGGCAGCCCCCUGGGCCAACACUGACGCUCAGGCACGAAAGCGUGGGGAGCAAACAGGAUUAGAUACCCUGGUAGUCCACGCCCUAAACGAUGUCAACUGGGUGUCGGGGGAGCGAUCCCUUGGUACCGUAGCUAACGCGUGAAGUUGACCGCCUGGGGAGUACGGCCGCAAGGUUAAA